rnacentral:ncRNA from 2 species
AAUCCAUCUAGAGCGACCGAGAGACCUGGCUCGACGACGUCGCAGCAACCUCGCCUGCGGUGGCGCAUCAUGCGCCUUCAUAACGCCGAAGGUGCUAACGCCAGCAACCGAUGGGAG